ACGUACCUGGAAUGUGCGUAUAAGCUUCAUAAUUCAACCGACAAAUAACAUCCGGGAGCUCGGGUUCUCUUAUCUAUGAAAUGCCUUUAAAUAGGACUUCAGAAAUAAGAGGCAGGUACCCACUUGGUUGAGACGCGGGUGUGAAUUAUAAAGCAAAACGGCAUUCUGGGACUUAU
rnacentral:other from 1 species